rnacentral:lncRNA from 1 species
CGCAAGGAUGCCAGAGCCAGUGCUGGGGGCUGACCCCAUCCCCGCCUCCCCCGUCCCCGCCGCCCCCGUCGCAGCCGCCGAGUGGCGGCGUGGCCUCGAUUAUUAGCCAGACCCUGUUCGACCAAAUGCUGCUUCACCGCAACGAUGCUGCUUGCCCCGCAAGGAACUUCUACACUUACAACGCCUUCAUCACCGCGGCGAAUUCUUUCCCCGCGUUCGGAACCACCGGGGACGUCGCCACCCGCAAGAGGGAGAUCGCCGCCUUCUUCGGACAGACCUCUCAUGAAACUACGG